GAGCCCGUAGCUCAGCCGGUAGAGCACGUGACUUUUAAUCAUGGGGUCUCGGGUUCGAAUCCCGACGGGCUCA
rfam:Xanthobacter autotrophicus Py2, complete genome.